rnacentral:lncRNA from 1 species
AAGAGUUGCAGAGACAGAGAGCGUAGGAGAGGGAGGAAGAGGGAAGAUGGCGGCGGCCGUGAACCAGCGUGGCCUUAACCAGCCAUAGUUAUGAUAUUAUAAGGCUCCUUUCCAUGUAGACCUGUGGGUGUCUGCCUGACCUGUAGUCUGAAGAUGCUCUUUCUGAAGUCUUAGGAGGGCCCCUCAGUGAGGAUGCCCGAAGCUGAAGGCUUUACUUCUGUUUCAAGGCAGUGAACAAGACGUGUGGUCUGAAGAUACACAACACCGAGACAGGACUGUGUGGUGCUCACAUGCCACGAGCAGAGUUCAAACAGCAUCCAAGCCCUAAAGACCAGAGCCAUGGACCAAUAUGGUGGAUGGCAUGUGUGCGCUUGUUCCAGAAGUGCUACUCAUCAUGGAGGCAAAUCCUGUGAGGACGUGGAAGACUUCACCUGGUUUCUCCGCUUUCCUCCCGGUGACACGGGGGAUACUUCGGGCAGAUACUGAACUGUCUGCUGCCAUUUACAGCCACAGUUACAUGGGAUUGUUUGUUCCUUCCCUGGGCUUCUACCUCUUCCUUGACUGGAACAGAAGCUAGGUGCUUAGAUAAACCUGGUCAAAUAUUUUAAAUCAGGAUUCUCUUUUUUUCUCAGCCUAAGAGCUUAAGUGGCUAUUUAUGUAGUUUUAUAAAUAAAAAAAAAAUUUUUUUAACAUCCUGAUCAUACCAUAGCCAUUUUAAAGAGGAGAAGAGACAUUUUAAAGAGCUAUGUGUGCUGCAUUAGACUACUGAAGAAAAAAAAUAGACCCAAGGAAUUAACAUUUCUGAGGAAUCUCAGAGAGAAGUUUUGUAAAAAAAAAAAAAAAAAAAAAAAGUAUUUAAUUGCAAUCCA